UACAGAGGAUGCAAGCGUUAUCCGGAAUGAUUGGGCGUAAAGCGUCUGUAGGUGGCUUUUUAAGUCCGCCGUCAAAUCCCAGGGCUCAACUCUGGACAGGCGGUGGAAACUACCAAGCUGGAGUACGGUAGGGGCAGAGGGAAUUUCCGGUGGAGCGGUGAAAUGCGCAGAUAUCAGGAGGAACACCGGUGGCGAAGGCGGGUCUCUGGGCAACAACUGACGCUGAGGAGCGAAAGCGUGGGGAGCGAACAGG
rnacentral:rRNA from 1 species